AAGGAAUAUUGCGCAAUGGACGAAAGCCUGACGCAGCGACGCCGCGUGGGGGAUGAAGGUCUUCGGAUUGUAAACCCCUUUCGGCAGGGAAGAUGGAACGGGCAACCGUUCGGACGGUACCUGCAGAAGCAGCCACGGCUAACUUCGUGCCAGCAGCCGCGGUAAUACGAAGGUGGCAAGCGUUGUUCGGAUUCACUGGGCGUACAGGGAGCGUAGGCGGUUAGGUAAGCCCUCCGUGAAAUCUCCGGGCCUAACCCGGAAAGUGCAGAGGGGACUGCUUGGCUAGAGGAUGGGGGAGGAGCGCGGAAUUCCCG
rnacentral:rRNA from 1 species